UACGUAGGGUCCAAGCGUUAAUCGGAAUUACUGGGCGUAAAGCGUGCGCAGGCGGUUCCAUAAGACAGGGGUGAAAUCCCCGGGCUUAACCCGGGAAUGGCAUUUGUGACUGUGGGGCUAGAGUGUGGCAGAGGGGGGUGGAAUUCCACGUGUAGCAGUGAAAUGCGUAGAGAUGUGGAGGAACACCGAUGGCGAAGGCAACCCCCUGGGUUAACACUGACGCUCAUGCACGAAAGCGUGGGGAGCAAACAGG
rnacentral:rRNA from 1 species